UUUAUACUUAAAAUACAGCUCGACUAAAUAAACAAAAUAACAAUGAACAAAGUGUAAACGGCCAUGUAGUAAUAGAAAGGAUUUGAAUAACAGAAAAUUCAAAUUUUACGACUUUAAAAGCAAACAACCUAAAAAAAUAAAUACUUUUGUUUGGCUUUGUGUCCAUUAUUUUCAAAGCAUACAGCUAUGAAUCAUGACGUGUACAUUAUUUAUUUUUUAAAUUAUUUUAAAUGAUCAGCCAGUUAAUAAAUAAUAUGGAACAAAGGGAAUAUUUGUCAUUAAAUAGCAUCUCUGUGUCUAUUUAUUCAUCAGUCUCAAGAGACUUGAUAUUCAGCUAAUUAUUGAAGAGGUAACAUACUGCAUCAGCUGAAAUAAUGUGACAGAUUACCUUGACUGUGACUGAAGUGAUAAUAUUGCUUUCUUGCCAGCAAUUCUAAUAUAUUUGUUGAAAUGAAACACAGUCUUUCUUACCUGAAGAAGAUUCUUAAAGACAGAUGCCCAAACACCAGUCACGAUGCAAGUGCAUUGCCAUUAUCUCUCUAUUGUAUAUCCAUUCGUUGGUAUUGUACAGAUAACUAAACAAUUCACUGUAUAUAUACAGUUGUGUACUUCUAUGGCGUCUUCAUCAAGGAUCACCCCAAGGUACCAAAGAAAUUGGCUAGCAGUAACAAUUCUAGCGGCAAAAUGAUGGCCAUGGCGUGCAGAUGCCAGUUGCUCUACUAGAUCGUACACUCGAUGCUGCGUCGUACAGUGUGCAUCAAAAGAUGGUCGUUAACAGUUUUAUCGCUUUCCUCAAAGACAACGAGAAGCAUAUAUGCAGCCAUUGCUAAUAAACAAGUACAAACUGACUAGUAACAGUUUUUCCCUCAAUUCCCUUACGAUAAAAAUCAACCUAGAUGUCGAUGACUCAACAUGUGACUCUCGAAGAAGCUCCUCAGGUCCUCUCACUGCAAUAUCUCAGCUGUCGAGCUUUUGCUACUACCGCUGCUACGGCUGCUUACCAACUUGAUAUGUUAUACAUGAUCUCCAGGUACAUGUUCUUGCCAUGACUUUUAUUGCCUUUGGUACAGUCACACGAAACUGGACUUAUUGACAACUUCAUCGAUACCAACGAUUUUUGCAAAGCAUACCUUUCAGGAAUUAUUCAAUCUUUAAAAAUUGUGAAAAUAAAAUACCAUCCUGAACUGUUUUCACAUAACUUGAAAUAUAAGACGCUUUGAAAACCUUCAACAUUUUUUACGAUGAAACUCUAAAGACAGAAAUAUAUCAAGAUGAAAAUGAACAAUGUAUGUGGAAUCUUGCAGUACAUCUAUUAGCCUACAUGAAAUAUCAUAAUAUGUAUUUAUACGUUCAGAAAAAUAAAGAAUAAGUGAAAAAGCGGUUAAAAAGUAAUAGUUUUUCAAAAAUCAGUAAAGUUUUUGCGGAAAAUGUAGAAGAAAGUACACUUUGUACCAGAAAGCUUCGAAGUCAGUCAUCCUUAAAAAUUUGAACCUGCUGAUAAUAUGGAAAGAAUAAAAAUGUUCUUAAAAAAGAUGAAUUUGUUUCUUUACACGAGAUGAAGUAUUGUAUACAGUUUAAAGAUAUAAUCCGUAAAAUUUUGUAUAAUAUACGUUUUGAAAUUAUGUUUUAGUCCGUAAAGCAAACAAACAAAUUUAAAGAUUUCGUUAAAAGAUGGUUAUUCAGUAUUUGUAGAAAUUUUAAAAGAUAUUCUACUGAACUAUAAGCUACCUCCGAAUAUAUUGUAUUACGAUUAUAUUAAUAUUAAAAGUGAUGAUAAAUUUUAUAAUCUUAGGGUUGUAAGUGAUAUAGAAAAAAAAUGACAUCAGCUGAUGAUUAAAUAUAUUAAAGCUCAGAAAUAAAACAUCCAUGAAAAAUUAUGUCAAAAUGGAAUACCAAAUUCGUUCUCGAUAUUUGAGUUAGGUGUUUUCCCUGGAUGGACUUGUUUAUUUUAUGAUUUACGCGAUAUUAAUUUGAUAAAACAUGUUUCAAAAAAUCAAAUCUAUUUGAUAAACACUCGAAAACGUCAGUCACAAUAUGUGAUGUUUUGGAGAAACUUGAUGCGCGGUGAAAAGCAAAUUGAAAGAACUUUUCUUAAUGAUAAGAAAUUUGUAAUUGUUAUUUUUGUUUACUGAAAAGAGAUGUAAUUUACAUAUAUGAAGAAUGCAGACUGUACUAUAGUGCUAACUGCUCGUGCACUGCCGGGGGUCGUUUGGAUCUACAAUAAACAUUUGAAAUUUACUGGUACUAGUUGUGAAAACGAUAUUCGUUAUUAUUUGAUAAACGAUUAAUUUUAUUAUAAGGGCUUAUCGCUCGUUGAACGCAAAAUCGAUUGCACUUAUUAUAUUCAGUUAAUAAUUAAAUAUCACUCUGCAGUGACUUAACAUUAUAACUAUCAAUCUCCAAAUUAAAAUUCGCAUAAAAAUGACAGUAAAACUUUUUGUCAAUUGAAUGAUGUGAAAUCGUUGAAGGUUUUUAAAAAAGUUGAAAAAAUUGAAAAAGAGUGGAUUUCCAUCAGCUCUGCUAGUUUACUCAUUAAUAUUCCCUUCCUUCAUACUUAUGAAAUAUUUCUGUAACAAUAAAUUGCAUAAGUGUUGACUCUCGGAAAAGUGAGCUUGUGAAGGUUGUUGGAAAUUCCAAGGAUUCUCGCAAAGUGAGAAAACAAGCAUUCUAUUUAACAUUAUACUUAUAUAUUUAUUAUAUGCAUAUGUAUACGUAAUAAUUAAUAAAAUAUAAUGUUUAUAAUGUUAAUCGUAUGUCUACAAUCGUAUUAUUAUCUGUUUUUUUCCAAUAUCGUCAUUGUCGCCGUUCUCAAGCACAUAUAUAUUUCGUGAGAGCGCUUGAAAAAGUUCAUUUGUUCGCUUGUUAGUUUGUGAAGUUUUGCAAAAUCGAGUAAACGCAACAUUAACAAAACGCAAUUGGCGAAAAAGCUACGAAACGGUAAUCACGCUACUUUACAAUGUAAACAUCAGCAAUGUAUCAUCCAUUUUUUUUUUCUUGCUUAUUCCUCUCAUAACAUAGUUGGUGUAUAAAAUUAUCCGGCGCGCAAGCACGCACGCACACACACGCACGCACGCACGCACGCACGCACUCACACACACACACACACAUUACUUAUACAUAAUUAUCUUUGCGAUGACAGUUUACAUAUCCAGUUAUGAUUCGUAACAAUAUAUAGCUUCGGUAUACUUGCGGUCGUGUGUCUGGUGUAUUUUCAUUUAUUUAUUAUCAACAUCUAUAUCCGAACCCUUAUGUCCUGUGCAUCCUUUUCUUUUUUAAAUUCAUAUAUAUAUAUAUAUAUAUGUAAUUUGCUUCCACGUAUAUAUAAAUAUCUAUGAAAUUAUUCCCAGAGAUUUAUGUGCAUAACCAAUGGCGCACGAAGCAAAGCAAGAGGAGGAAAAAUUUCCACUAGAAUAGCUUAUUGUUUCGUUAAUGAGACGUACGCGUUAUAAUUCUGAUAAACGUGGUGUGUAUGUGUGUGUGUGUGUGUGUGUGUGUGUGUGUGUGUGUGUGUGUGUGUGUGUGUGUGUGUGUGUGUGUGUGUGUGUGUGUGUGUGUGUGUGUGUGUGUGUGUGUGUGCGGCUGGCGAUGACGACGGCGAUGACGACAGUGUCGAAAACGUUCGGUCAGCAAUGUCUCGCGCGCGUUAUUGCACGUGCGCGCGGGUCUCCGUUUUCUCCUUUCGUUUUAUUCUUCGCGAAGUGUACACCUUUAAAAAAAUAUAUGUAGAGGUACAACGGAAAGACAAUGCUUUUGUUUUAUGACUGGAUAACAAAAAGAAUCGAGCUUUACUCUUUACUUCCUUUUAUUCGACGUGUACGGGUGCUUCAUCUCGCUCUUCCUACUUUUCACCAGAGAUACAGUGUGUCUAGGAAAGAAGUGCGAGCUAUGCGACGAUUACAGUAGUUAGAAAAUCAAAUGUUUUUUUUUUCCUUUUCACGCACAAAAGAGAAUCGUGUUCAUUAGUCAUACUUCACAACAGGCAUUGUUUAAUCGUUCGCGUUCAUCGUCAUUUUCAAGAGAAUGGGAACAUUUCGCCGCUCGCUAGGCGCUGCGACUUUGUUUUUUCUUUUAUUUUUGCUAAAAUUGAGAGAUGUGUUAUGUAUAUAUACACACAUACACAUCUGCUUAUAUAUCUGUGUUCUUCGUGCGCGUGAGUUCACAAAGAAGUCACAUCGCUUGUUGUGAGUUUUAAAACGCUUUCUUUCAUAAAAUUUACAUAUAGAUUCUUUAAUUUGCAAUUAAUCCUCCGCGACAAAUCGUCAUCGUCAUCAGUGUACGUGAGUUUCUUUUCUCUUUUUUUUUCGUCCAUGCGCCGAAUACCGAUAACAAAUUUCUUGUCAACGUAAUACUUUGCGGUCAAUGCCACGUGAUUUAUCCGCGGAAAUGCGAUGCCGUUGUUUAGCAAUUUUUCACGUUUUCGAAAAUGAAGAUACACGUGUUUCUUCAGCAUCAACUAUCAGACAUUAUUAUCACGACGAUUUGCAGAACUUUCGCUCGCCGCCGCGUUUUCUUAUCCCCGGUGUUUUCUCGUCGUGCCUACUAACGAUAUUCUACGAAAUCGAAAAAUUCAUGGCGAUGUGUAAUGCGCUCGAGGAGUAAGAGUUACAGCGCGGGAUAAGAAAAGAAGACGUAACACCGCAUCGUCCGCCGAAAUGCCAUUGACGCGUCGGUACUUGCGGCGUUUGAUGGGCACCGGAAACAGUCGGGUAAAAAUACUCAGCAAAAAUAAUUUGAUCGAACGAGCAGCGCCUAUCCCCGCGCUGCUUCGAAUCUGAUAUCGAUUCGCUUGCACUUUUUAUUCGUCGCGCGCUACAUUUACCCAACUCUUUCCUCCCUCUCGAUUUCUUUUUAUCAUUUCGCCCUUCUAAGCGCGUAACGAAUAUACAUAUAUACAUAUACAUAUACAUAUAUAUAUAUAUAUAUAUAUAUAUAUAUAUAUAUAUAUAUAUAUAUAUAUAUAUAUAUAUAUAUAUGCAGAAUAUAUUGCGGAAAAUUCUAUUAGCAAUAGGUACCAUGUGUUUCUUCAAUGUUUUUGUCACUUUUCUUUUUUUCUUGUUGUCGUUCGUUAAAAAAAUACGGACGCGAAAUGUACGAAUGUCGAGUUCUUUGUUCCGAAUGGACGAUUAUUAUGUAAUUCUUUUUGUUCAUUAUUAUUAUUAUUUACUUAGCAAAAAGGAUUUGAAGAUUGUACUGCUUUUUAUUUAUUAUUUUGUUAUCAUCCGCGGAAACAAGACUUUGCCAUUUUCGACGAAUCUCGCCUUUUUCAAAAUUGCAAUAGCGCACACGUUGCAUGCGUUUGUAUGUACUUGGCGCUUUGGUAAUCAGCGUCGACAGGGAUUUAAUUAAAGAAUCCACGUACGGCAGGAUUGUUCCAAAGUCUCAUCUCCGAGUAGUCUGAACAUUUAUAUUUGUUUCUGGUUUUUCGCGAAAAUUCGUUUACGACAAACAAAUCGACAUUUCUUUCGUUUCACAAAAGUAUAUAGAUUCAUCUUUUGUUAUUUCUUUAAAUAUCUCAAUAAUUUUUUUUACUCGGUUCCCGUUUAAUCAUUUGCUACGAUUUUAUUAUUUAAAAAAAAAUCUAA